AGACAUUAGUCACCGAAACAGUAGGAUGUACGGACCAUUUAAAGUGAGGGCGUUACACUUUAUAAGAGCAGAGUUGGAAUGGACGUGUCGAAAAUAUGAUGGCUUGUUGAGGUUACAAAGGAUUAUUGAAAGAAAUGUUGUACGCUCUGAUGCAACAGGGAGGAAUAAAUGCAUUGGUCAAUGAUGGUAGAGUGAGUAAAUGUAAGAAAUUGAUAUCGAAUAACUUUGUGAGGUGUGAAAGUUGAGAGUAGUUAAAAGCCAAGAAGUGGAAAAGUAGAAGAUAAACCUCUAUGUUCUUGAUAAAAA
rnacentral:misc_RNA from 1 species